CACUGGGUCCCUGGCGGCGAAAGCCGCCGAACCGUGUCAGGUCUGGAAAGAAGCAGCACUAAGGCGAUUCUUUCGGGCGCCCAGGACAACCUGGUGGUC
rnacentral:SRP_RNA from 2 species